rnacentral:tRNA from 1 species
GGGAAUGUAGCUGAGUUGGUUUUAGCAUCAGAUUGAAGCUCUGAGGACGCGGGUUCGAUCCCUGCCAUUCCCA